rnacentral:rRNA from 1 species
CCUACGGGUGGCAGCAGUGAGGAAUAUUGGGCAAUGGACGAGAGUCUGAACCAGCCAAGUAGCGUGAAGGAUGACGGCCCUAUGGGUGGUAAACUUCAGUGAUAGGGGAAUAAAAUGUUGCACGUGUGGGAUUUUGUAUGUGCCAUAUGAAUAAGGAUCGGAUAACUCCUUCCCAGCAGCCGCGGUAAUACGGAGGAUCCGAGCGUUGUCCGGAUUUAUUGGGGUUAAAGGGCGCGUAGGUGGAUUGUUAAGUCAGUUGUGAAAGUUUGCGGCUCAACCGUGAAAUUGCAGUUGAAACUGGCAGUCUUGAGUACAGUAGAGGUGGGCGGAAUUCCUGGUGUAGCUGU